rnacentral:antisense_RNA from 1 species
AGCACAGGUGAGACGUGGUCUUGUAACACAGUGGUUAAGAAUGUGACUUUGGAGCCAGCCUGCUAGGGGCUGAAUUCUGACUCAGCCAUUUACUAACUGUGUGACCUUAGGUCACAGAAUUUUCCACACUCCUUGACGGAGGUGCUUAACCCUUAUCCAUCAGCAUUCUCAGACAGCACCUCCGGUUAGGGACAGUAUCUGACCGUCCGACAUCCCUGCAGCCCCCAUGUGUCACACAGACUCAGCCUCAGGUAGAUGGUUUCCGUAGAUGGUGGCUUUCUUUGGACCCUUGACAUCAACCAGUUACUAUUUGACUCUUCUGCAGAACCCCCUGUUGACCCCUGCUUUGAGGUGGCAGAGUUAACACUACUCUUCGUUAUAAGCUCUCGUCUGGGGCAACUCAGAAGAACCCAGAGACAGACUCCCAGACUCGGCCAGAGGCUGAUGCCGACUCCUUCCAGCUCUCACGGUAACCAUGAGGCCCCUGCGUGUUUCUGCUGUGGAGGUCCCAGAGGGAACUGUAUGGACAGACACAGCCUGAAGGGCCAUCUGCCUCAAGCCACAGC